GAACGCAGCGAAAUGCGAUACGUAAUGUGRAUUGCAGAAUUCAGUGAAUCAUCGAAUCUUUGAACGCAUAUUGCGCUCUUUGGUAUUCCGAAGAGCAUGCUUGUUUGAGUAUCAGUAAACACCUCAAAGUCUUUUUUUUUCUUGAAGAAAAAAGACCUUGGACUUGAGCAAUCCCAACUCUUCCUUUCAGAAGAGGCGGGUUGCUUGAAAUGCAGGUGCAGCUGGACAUUCUCCUGAGCUAAAAGCAUAUUCAUUUAGUCCCGUCAAACGGAUUAUUACUUUUGCUGCAGCUAACAUAAAGGGAGUUUGACCAUUUUGGCUGACUGAUGCAGGAUUUUCACAAGAGUCUUCAAAACACUCUUGUUAAACUCGAUCUCAAAUCAAGUAAGACUACCCGCUGAACUUAAGCAUAUCA
rnacentral:rRNA from 1 species